CACAUCCUGUGUGUGUGGCCACUUAGUGGUCGGGAUUUGGUUGGGGCGAAGCAGGUGCUGGGGUGUGGAGGUGCCAGUAGAGUGACUGUGUGAGUGUGGCUCUCAAGGGUCGAUGGUUGUGUGAGUGUGGCCCUUAGGGGUCGAUGGCUAUGUGAGUGUGGCCCCUUAAGGUGUCGACGACAGUGUGAGUGUGGGACUUAAGGGUUGAUAUGUGUGGGAGCAUCUAUUGUUAUGGUGAGAUAGUGGAUGCAGCACAGGUGUGCGUGGGUGGCCUUCAAGGCUCGUUAUUUCCACCAAAAUGUGUGUUGUAAAUUGAGUGGUGUGAAUGUUGGAAAAGGAGAGAUAUGGUUGAGUCUGAUCAUGUGUGUGGUGAAAGGUAUAGCAACAUGAUGUUGAUUUUGAAGAAACUUUUUCUCCAGUAGCUCGCUUUGAAAUGGUAAGAAUUGUCUUGGCAUUGGCUGCACAAUUACAAUGGCCUGUUUAUCAAUUUGAUGUUAAAUCAACAUUUUUGAAUGGUGAUUUAUAAGAAGUUUAUGUAACCCAACCACAAGGUUUCAUAAUUGAAGGUAAAGAGAAGAAAGUGUACAAGUUGAGGAAGGCAUUAUAUGGCUUGAAGCAAACACCACGUGUAUGGUAUAGUAAAAUUGAUGGAUAUUUUCAACAAUAUGGGUUCUUGAGGAGUGAGAACGAACUUACUCUCUAUUUGAAGAAGGAACGUAAAAAUGAUUUCAUCAUUAUUUGUCGUUAUGUUGAUAAUAUCAUUUAUACAAGCUCCUCUAGUUCUCUUGCGACUAAAUUUAAAUCACAUAUGAGACAUGAGUUUGAAAUGUUAGAUAUGGUUUUGCUACAUUAUUUACUUGACCUUGAAGUUCAACAAGUUGAAGAUGGAAUUUUUAUGUUCAAAGAAAAUAUGAUAAGGAUCUUCUUAAGAAAUUUGGCAUGAUUAAUUGCGAGUAUUCAGCUACACCUAUGAAUGUCAAUGAAAAAUUGCAGUGUGAAGAUGUGGGGAGAAAUGGCUGAUGCUAGAAGCUUUAGAAGCUUAGUUAGAGGAUUAAUUUAUCUAACUCACACUUGACCAGAUAUUGCAUGUUCUAUUGAUGUAAUUUUUAAGUUUAUGCAAAAUCCAUCAAAGUUUCAUUUUGGAACAGCAAAGCGAGUCUUGCAUUAUAUUGCUGGAACUGUGGAUUAUGGCAUUAUGUACUCAAAGGCUUAUAAUUUCAGUUCAUGUGGGUUCAUGGAUAGUGAUUGGGCUUGUUCAUUGGAUGAUAGCCAAUGUAUUUUAGCAAAUGUUUUUACUCUUGGGCGAGGAGUAACUACUUAGAGCUCCAAGAAGCAAGCCACAACAACACAGCUUCCUUAGAAGCUAAGUAUAUAACAGCCACUUCAGCAGCUUGUCAGGCCAUUUGGUUGAGGAGAAUGCUAGCAGAAUUACAGCAAAAGCAAUAAGGAGCAAUGGAUAUAUUCUGUGAUAACAAAGCAACAAUUUUCAUGACAAAGAAUCCAUCUUUUCAUAACAGAACAAAGCAUAUUGAUAUUUGAUUCCAUUUUGUUCAUGAUUGGGCCACUAAAGAGGAGAUUAUUUUGAAGUAUUACAGAAUAAAUGAGCAAUUGGCUGAUAUGCUAACUAAGGCAUUAUCUAAACAGAAGUUCAUCCAUUUUAGAAAUCUUCUUGGUGUGUGCAAUUUUGAAUCAAGGGGGACUGUUGAAGAUUGAUUCAAGAAUUAGUCAAAAUAUGCUAUAUAAACAGAGAGGUGAGGAGCCAGCGGGUAAAGCAAAAAAUAUUGCAGAUUCGGUGGGGAGAGAAAAACUUCCAAAAGGCAGCAACUAGCUGGUGAAGCAAAUCUGAUUGCAGAGCUGAAGGAGAGAACGGAGUACCAGAGCAAGCUGAUUGGAAAGGAAAACCUGAAGUGGAGAA